rnacentral:rRNA from 1 species
GAUGAACGCUGGCGGCGUGCCUAAUACAUGCAAGUCGAGCGAACAGAUGAGGAGCUUGCUCCUCUGACGUUAGCGGCGGACGGGUGAGUAACACGUGGAUAACCUACCUAUAAGACUGGGAUAACUUCGGGAAACCGGAGCUAAUACCGGAUAAUAUAUUGAACCGCAUGGUUCAAUAGUGAAAGACGGUUUUGCUGUCACUUAUAGAUGGAUCCGCGCCGCAUUAGCUAGUUGGUAAGGUAACGGCUUACCAAGGCAACGAUGCGUAGCCGACCUGAGAGGGUGAUCGGCCACACUGGAACUGAGACACGGUCCAGACUCCUACGGGAGGCAGCAGUAGGGAAUCUUCCGCAAUGGGCGAAAGCCUGACGGAGCAACGCCGCGUGAGUGAUGAAGGUCUUCGGAUCGUAAAACUCUGUUAUUAGGGAAGAACAAAUGUGUAAGUAACUGUGCACGUCUUGACGGUACCUAAUCAGAAAGCCACGGCUAACUACGU